UGUGACCUCCACUACCAACGGGCUGUGACUGUUGAGUGUUGAGCGGGCAGUGUCACUUGAUUCCCCAGGGCCUCAGCUUUCUGCUCUGUGAAAGGGAGAUGGUGAUCUUUCCUAGUCAACCUGAGAGCUUGUGGGAAGUGAUAAAUGAUCAUUGGUGUGGCCACAUUUUUGCAAAGUGUAGAAGCUACACCCUGGAAUUUAUUCCCCUGAAGCUUUCUCUACAGGACCUAGAACAUGACAGAUAGUAAAUGCUAGGUCACCUUCAGGCCACCCUGGACCAUCCAACUCUGGCUAAGCCAUCAGCUGACUACAACUACAUGAAUGAGCGGGAUAUGUGAGCAGAAGAAUCACCCAGCUGAGCCCAGCCAACCUGCAGCAUAUAGUAUCAUGAGCUAAUAAACAAUUCCUGCUUUAAGCCCUAA